rnacentral:rRNA from 1 species
AUUGAACGCUGGCGGCAGGCCUAACACAUGCAAGUCGAGCGCGAAAGUCCUUCGGGAUGAGUAGAGCGGCGGACGGGUGAGUAACGCGUAGGAAUCUGUCCGGUAGUGGGGGAUAACGUUCCGAAAGGAACGCUAAUACCGCAUACGCCCCACGGGGGAAAGGGGGGGAUCCUUCGGGACCUCUCGCUAUCGGAGGAGCCUGCGUCGGAUUAGCUAGUUGGUAGGGUAAAGGCCUACCAAGGCGACGAUCCGUAGCUGGUCUGAGAGGAUGAUCAGCCACACCGGAACUGAGACACGGUCCGGACUCCUACGGGAGGCAGCAGUGGGGAAUAUUGCGCAAUGGGGGCAACCCUGACGCAGCCAUGCCGCGUGUGUGAAGAAGGCCUUCGGGUUGUAAAGCACUUUCAGAGGGGAGGAAAGGGCGCUGGCUAAUAUCCAGCGCAGUUGACGCUACCCUCAGAAGAAGCACCGGCUAAUUCCGUGCCAGCCGCCGCCGUAAAAC